rnacentral:miRNA from 1 species
CACAGCGGACCUUGAUUUAAUGUCUAUACAAUUAAGGCACGCGGUGAAUGCCAAGAGAGGCGCCUCC